GUGGGGAAUCUUCCGCAAUGGACGAAAGUCUGACGGAGCAACGCCGCGUGAACGAUGACGGCCUUCGGGUUGUAAAGUUCUGUUAUACGGGACGAAUGGUACGACGGCCAAUACCCGUCGUAAGUGACGGUACCGUAAGAGAAAGCCACGGCUAACUACGUGCCAGCAGCCGCGGUAAUACGUAGGUGGCAAGCGUUGUCCGGAAUUAUUGGGCGUAAAGGGCGCGCAGGCGGCGUCGUAAGUCGGUCUUAAAAGUGCGGGGCUUAACCCCGUGAGGAGACCGAAACUGCGAUGCUAGAGUAUCGGAGAGGAAAGCGGAAUUCCUAGUGUAGCGGUGAAAUGCGUAGAUAUUAGGAGGAACACCAGUGGCGAAGGCGACUUUCUGGACUGUAACUGACGCUGAGGCUCGAAAGCCAGGGGAGCGAACGGGAUUAGAAACCCCAGUAGUCC
rnacentral:rRNA from 1 species